AUGGGCGACUUUAAUGAAAUCUUGCAGGAAAUAGAGAAGAAAAGUGGCAAUCCUAGACCACAUUCAAUGGUACAGGCUUUCAGUGAUUGUUUGUAUGAGUGCGGGUUGAAAGAUAUAGAAUAUACUGGUGACAAAUACACAUGGAGAGGGGGAGAAAUCCGGGAGAGACUGGAUCGAGCAGUUUGCAAUGAAGCAUUGAUGGAAAAUUUUCCCCUGGCUAUGUUAGUCCAUGAACAACACGUCCAUUCGGACCACAGGCCGAUUUGGAUUGACACUAAACACUUUGAUGGAGAGUUGUUGAUAAAACGGAGUGGAGGCCGUAGAUUAGGCUAA
rnacentral:rRNA from 1 species